rnacentral:snRNA from 1 species
GUGCUUGCUUUGGCAGCACAUAUACUAAAAUUGGAACGAUACAGAGAUUAGCAUGGCCCCUGCAC